rnacentral:rRNA from 1 species
UACGUAGGGGGCUAGCGUUGUCCGGAAUCAUUGGGCGUAAAGAGCGUGUAGGCGGUCCGGUAAGUCCGCUGUGAAAGUCGGGGGCUCAACCCUCGAAUGCCGGUGGAUACUGUCGGGCUAGAGUGCGGAAGAGGCGAGUGGAAUUCCUGGUGUAGCGGUGAAAUGAGCAGAUAUCAGGAGGAACACCUAUUGCGAAGGCAGCUCGCUGGGACGUUACUGACGCUGAGACGCGAAAGCGUGGGGAGCAAACAGG